rnacentral:rRNA from 1 species
UAAAAAGUNUAAUCUGCCCACUGAAUUUAUUUAAAGGGCUGCAGUAUAUUGACUGUACAAAGGUAGCAUAAUCAAUAGUCUUUUAAUUGAAGACUUGUAUGAAUGAUUUGAUGAAAUAUGAACUGUCUCUUUUUUAAAAAUAAAAUUUAAUUUUUUAGUUAAAAAGCUAAAAUAAUUAUAAAAGACGAGAAGACCCUAUAGAGUUUUAUAGUUAUUUAAUUUAAAAAUUUUAUAUAUAAUUUAAAUUUAAAAUUAAUUAAUUAUUUUAUUGGGGUGAUAGAAAAAUUAAAAAAACUUUUUUUAAAAAUUUAACAUUAAUUUAUGAAAUUAUGAUCCAUAAUUUAUGAUUAAAAGAAUCAAUUACCUUAGGGAUAACAGCGUAAUUUUUUUUUUUAGUACAAAUAAGAAAAANAGUUUGCGACCUCGAUGUUGGAUUAAGAUAAAAUUUAAAUGCAAAAGUUUUAAAAUUUUUGAUCUGUUCGAUCAUUAAAAUCUUACAUGAUC